AUAAGCGACUCAAACAGGAGAUGUGUAGCUACACGUAGGCCCCACUUGAAUCCAACAUCACAGAUCAGAAAGCUAGCUUUCAAGACUAUUCCAGUGCAAGGAAAUCCAUCAGACCAAUUCUUGUGAGCGUCUCCUCUCCAGCAAGCUUCCUGCACAUGCUGAGGCAUGCAUUUUCAUGAAGCUCAACAGCUGAGAGUUGAGGUUCAACACUUCUGAACUCUCUCUGCUGCCCAGGCAGCUCUGGCUGAGCUGUUCAAACAGAGGAUGCUGUGUCACCACAGACAGAUGAUAACACUACUUCAGAACAAAAGGUUUGUACAAAGCCGAGGUGCCCUGCUUGAAGAAUUGCUUAAAGUUCCCAGACUGCUAAUCAGAUACCAGCAACACUGCACACAUCAGCUGUUAGGUCAGUACAGCAAUAGAAUGUUUGGAACCGUGCACACUGUCUCUAUUACCCGCUUGCUACUCUAAAGGUAUACACAUCACUUAACAUUACAGUACAUUCCAGUUCAGGAAAUCCUUAUGAAAUAAAUACAUGACAAGCUCCCUAUGUUCAUUUUUGAAAUCCAUGUCAAACUUUAAACAUGCUUUAAAAUACUGAUCUUUUCUUUUUUCUUUUUCUUUUUUCCCUGGAAAACAAACAGACGUGACAGAAGCCUGGCUCUACAGAACAACGCAAUGCACGCAGUGACAGCAAAGAUGGGCAACGAAAUAAAAUACAGUCAGUGACACCUGA